rnacentral:lncRNA from 1 species
GAGAUGAAGCGUCUUCCAGCAUGCAGCCGCCCUGAUGGAUCGCUGGGGCCUCGGGCGGGGUGCGCCGCUGUCCUUUCGCAGCCGUCCGGGCGGCUCUGCACGUGCAGCGCGCGGUCCCCACGCCCCCCCCCCCACCCCGCCCAGCAGCCCGCAACACCCCUGGUCUGCCGCGGGGGACCCUGCCGAUGCCUUUCGGGGUCGAGACUGGCGCGGUGGAAACCGCAGAGCAAAAGGAAACACAGACAAAAACAGUGAGAAGGAGAGAGGGCGUGUGGUGCUUUGCCAGAGAGGAUCUUGGAUGGAAAUCACCUAAGAACUCCAAACUCAAUGCCAGGGCAGACUGGUGUCUAUUCUGGUGGAUUUCCAAGUUCUGAACAUUGGAAUUUAAAUGCAGAUGGAGGCCACUCUGGACGUGUGUCCAUGGUACUUGGGGUAAUGUUGGUUGUGAGCUGGCCUACACACAGAUCACACACAGAUCUCUUUGUGGUGUUGGAGAAGUUGGAGUCAGCUCAUAGGGGAGUCCCAACAUGGAAGACCCAGGAGUGCAGCAGGCUUUACUUUUUAAGAAAUAGCUCAUUAAAAAUGAAAUUGGGAAGAGGUCUUUGAUCCUGCUUGGAACACCAGACAACCAAAACCAAAAAUGGAACUGGAAUUCCGUAGUCCGAAGGUUUGUGACCAAAAUCUUAAUUCAAAGCUGCACUUUAUCUUCCCUUUCAUUCAAUUCAGCUCUUUUAAGAUCAGAAAUCAGUUUCCUUCAUAUCAUGACAGGGUUUACAUUAAGCUACUUGAGUCUCCAAAAUUACAACAUUAAAUCAGUUGCAUAAAAACAAAAACUAAUUCAUUGACAUUAGCUCUCUUUGUAAUUGAUGAAAAGAGGAAAGAAGUGAAGUUUGAAAAAAACCCUCAAAUGUACACCUAAGUUAAAGACUGUUAAAGUGUCUUUUUCUUUUACUGAUUUUCCAUUUCAAUUGAGAAAUUAAAUUGGACUGUGUAAUAUUUCCACAUACGUAAACUCCAGAAACUGCUCAUAAAAUAAAAAGAGUUUUUCAUCAUUCAGGAAGAUAUUUCCUUGAUGGGUUUGUGUUCAUCGAUAAACUCUGCCUUGCUUCAAAACGUGCAGGUAUGUAGGGCUGCUUCUAGCAUCUCAGCAGGCUCUUAGAGUGGAUUCCAAAUAUGCUGACAGGAGACUAGGGGUGAAAAUACAUACAGCAAUACAUCUGCAAGCUACAUGGCCUUGAGGGGAUUGCCUAAACUCACCUGUCUUUCUCUACAUUGACUUCAUUGCAAAAUAGGGGUAAAAACAGUGCAUGCUUUAGUGUGUUUUUUAAUGACUAAAUGAAACAAUAUUUGCCAAGCAUUUUUAAUACAGUCUAGUGUUUCAUAAAUGAUCAACAAACAUGUAUUGCUACAAUUAUUCAUAUUUAUUAUCGUUGAUUUUACACAGCAAUGUCUCCCAGUAGUUAAGUUUCUACUUUUAAAAUAACUGGAAGAAUGUAAGCUCUCAACUAGUCCUGAAACAAUAGAUACCAACUAGUAGAGAUAAUAGCUAUCUGGAAGAGGGAGAUACAUGCCAAGUCAAAAAAAAAAAAAAAAAAAA